rnacentral:rRNA from 1 species
GCUUGACCUCGGAUCAGGUAGGGAUA